GUAAAUAGAGUACACCCAUAAAUUUAAUGCCUAAACAAGUUUUUUAACCUUAUAGAUAGUGCAUGUUAGACAAAAGUUUUACUUUUUAGCUUUUUGCUUUAAAUAGUUAGAAUUCAGAUGGCAAUUUUCGAAAAAACAAUCAAUUGUACAUGUCCCUUGGACGAGAUUAAAACUUUAGGGACGAGAACGAAACAUAGACAAUAUCCUGGGGACGAGACUGUUA
rnacentral:lncRNA from 1 species